CCUACGGGUGGCAGCAGUGAGGAAUAUUGGUCAAUGGACGAGAGUCUGAACCAGCCAAGUAGCGUGAAGGAUGACUGCCCUAUGGGUUGUAAACUUCUUUUAUAUGGGAAUAAAAUGUUCCACGUGUGGGUUUUUGUAUGUACCAUAUGAAUAAGGAUCGGCUAAUUCCGUGCCAGCAGCCGCGGUAAUACGGAGGAUCCGGGCGUUAUCCGGAUUUAUUGGGUUUAAAGGGAGCGUAGGCGGAUCUUUAAGUGAGUUGUGAAAGUUUGUGGCUCAACCGUAAAAUUGCGGUUGAAACUGGCAGUCUUGAGUACACGAGAGGUGGGCGGAAUUCGUGGUGUAGCGGUGAAAUGCUUAGAUAUCACGAAGAACUCCGAUUGCGAAGGCAGCUCACUGGAGUGUUACUGACACUGAGGCUCGAAAGUGUGGGUAUCGAACAGGAUUAGAUACCCUUGUAGUC
rnacentral:rRNA from 1 species